UACGAAGGGGGCGAGCGUUGUCCGGAUUUAUUGGGCGUAAAGAGCGUGUAGGCGGUUUGGUAGGUCCGUUGUGAAAACUCGAGGCUCAACCUCGAGACGCCGAUGGAAACCAUCAGACUAGAGUCCGGAAGAGGAGAGUGGAAUUCCUGGUGUAGCGGUGAAAUGCGCAGAUAUCAGGAAGAACACCCGUGGCUAAGGCGGCUCUCUAGUACGGUACUGACGCUGAGACGCGAAAGCGUGGGGAGCGAACAGG
rnacentral:rRNA from 1 species